rnacentral:rRNA from 1 species
UACGGAGGGUGCAAGCGUUGUCCGGAAUCACUGGGCGUAAAGGGCGCGUAGGCGGCUCAUGAAGGCUGUGGUGAAAGUCCGGGGGCUCAACCUCGGAUCGGCCGUGGCGACUCGUGGGCUGGAGCACUGUAGAGGCGGGUGGAAUUCCGGGUGUAGCGGUGGAAUGCGUAGAGAUCCGGAAGAACACCAGUGGCGAAGGCGGCCCGCUGGGCAGUGGCUGACGCUGAGGCGCGACAGCGUGGGGAGCAACAGG